rnacentral:lncRNA from 1 species
AGACAUUGAAAACCUGGUUAAACAUAGUUUUACCUAAUGAAAUGGACAAUUAUCAGAGUAGUGUAAAUUGAUCUAUGACCAGUACUGCCAUUACUGAAAUUUUUCUUAUCUUUUGUGCUUUCCAGAACGGAAAAGGAAAAGAAAAAUACAUUGUAUGGAAACCAUAUACUAUGUCUGGGGGAAAGAAAAAAGCUUCUUUAAAAACACCACAGCCUUUGAAAAACUGAGAUUACUUCACAUCAAAACAGAGAAAGUGUAAAUAGCAAAAGUCUUUAUUUGAAACUUCAUUUGGAAAUUAAGACUCUCAUAUUUCCAAAAUAUAUUAUCAUAAGGUAAGAUUUUGUGUCCCUUUAUUUUUGGAAGUAAGUAGCUUGCUUUCCACAAAGCAAAACCUGUUGAAUUAUGUUUAUAAAAUAUUACUUUGGAA